UCCCUUCUCUGGGCAUUCUAUUGUAUCCCAAAGAGCAGAGCCCUUGGCAACUUCUGUGAUGUCACUAGUGUUGUAGCAACAUCAAGUGCCCUUAAGACAUUCAUUCAGUGCCUAUAAAUUUCAUGCAUAGACAUGUUGUCAAGACUGAGGGAUCUACUUGGGAGAGAGAAUGGACAGUGUGGCAAAACCAGAGAGAGAAUUAUUUACCUAAUAGUCCCAAGAUGUUACUUCACAUACAAAAGAAGAUAAUAAAUGACUGCUAAUAGAGCUAAAGUGAGCCCAAGAUAAAUUGUAAUUAGGCUCUGGAAUUGCAAUAUCCAGGCUUUCCCAUAAUCACUGAAGUCCAGAUACUUUCAUCAGUCUUGCAGAAUGAGCAAUAUCAGCUGCAGUUCUUUCCAGAAAGGAUAUUUGAAUGAUCAUAACACAAGUUAAUUCUUAGGUUUGGACAGAGAAAGAGAGAGCUUUUAAGAACCAAGCUGGAUGGUUAGGAAGCACAGUCCCUAUGAAAAUGCUGAGCCAAUGCAAUGGAUUCCUAGUUCUGACCCUUGACCACUUGAAGACAAACACUGCCAAUCUAGUACAAAUCUCCAACAAACGGUGACCUGUUUUCACCUCCCUGUUCAGAUUUUAACUGUAUAGAUAGCAAGUGCUCAAGAAGAAAGGACAAUAUAAAUACAAGCACAGACUGAUUAAUUGCAAAUCAGCUACAUACUUUUUAUAAUUUCUCUCAACAGCCAGGGAAUUUCUGAAGAAAAGUAGGGAUUUAAAAAAGUGAUUCAAAGAUUGUUCUGUGGUUCUCUGGGACUAAUCAGUUUAUUUUCAUAACAUUCUAUCUAAAGACAAUGCAUCAAAUAUUUAAUAACAUGAUAAGAGGGAGAAUAGUAAAUUAUGUUAAAGUAUUGGACCAUUUUAUAGUCUUUUCAGCAAUUAUGAAUACAUUGGAUAAAACAAUGAUUAAUUCAUCUUGGCAAACUCCAAUGCUCUGCCCAUAGUACAUAGAUGUUUCUUUUGUAUAAGACAUAUUGUCAGAAGAUAUAAAUAUCCCAAUACUGAAAUUCAUGUCUAUAAAAAUUGCACUAGGGUCACUGAUAGAACAUGACUAAAAAUUGUGCAACGAAAUGCCAUGGGAGAAUAAUGAUGACAUCAUAUACUAAAGUCACAGGUUUGUCUGACACAGCAAAGGACCUAUGCUACUGUCAACUUGUGAUAAUCUCUCACUGUUGUUAAACGUGCAGCUUUAAUAAUAUCAUUUAUAAAUCAGAAGAGAAGAGCAAUAUUGCAAGACUUAGACUUUCCUUGGAGAUCCCUAAACUUGAAGUAAAAGAUAAGUAACAUCACAAAAGAUGGGGACGGAAAGAAUACAAAGGCUGAACUAUAAUGAUGGUCUAUUGUAAAGGAUGAGAUAGGACAUUUGUAAUGAAUUAAUGGGAGUUCAGUUGAGUACAUAGGGCCAGUGAAAUAAUCAGAAAAUAUGUGGUCUCAGAUGAAGAGGGGUUCAUGAAUCCUUGCUUUGCUUAGGUGAUGAAGUGGCAGUAGAGGCCUCCUAGAGAAUAGGGAGCAAUGGUCUUCAGUGAUAGACCUCCUCAUGAGUUACUCAUGCUUAUGUGGAUGGAAGUAAAACUAUUUAAAAAACAAGUAGGUCGUGAAGACUGAUGGAUAGUUUGUCAACUUGGCAAAAUCUAGAACUUCCCCUUGAAGAAAGUCUCAAUGAAGGAUUCUGGACAUAGAUAUGUCUGCAGGCAACUAUAUGGAUUGUCUUAAUUGGUGUGCAAAGAUCAAGUCUGAACAUGGGCCAAACCUUUCCCUUAUUUUAAGACUUUUGUGAUAAGAAUAGAGAAAACUUUCAAGGUCUAUUGGACUAUGUGGGAAUUUUGAUGGGGAUGGCAUUGAACAUGUAGAUUGCUUCUGGUAAAAUGGCCAUUUUUACUAUGCUAAUCCUACUGAUCAAUGAACAUGGAAGAUAUUUCCAUCUUUUGAUCUGUUGCUGAAUCCUAAUGUCUCCUGGUAUUGCUGGAUCCUAAUGGCUCCCUCAGGGUAGUGGGUGAGAAAGUGUGGCAUCAAUGACACAGACACUGGGUGUCAGUUGAAGGCAAACAGCAGACUCAUUUACUCAAUAAUGGGGAAGGACUUAUAUACCUUUCUCCCAGAAGUCAAACUGUGUCCCAAUCUGGUGGCAUUGCAUGGUAGUCCCUCAUUGGCUGGGCAUGAUCAGGAACUCUGACAUUGACUAGGAACUCUGACAGCUCCUGUUCCUAGGCACUCAAACAAAUUCCAGGUUGGCUCAUAAAGAAGUAUGAGCCAUGUGCAUGCCUUGGCUACUGGUUUGAGCCAAUUUUCUCAACCCUACAGGCCUACUACACUGAUCUCUUCAAUUUCUUUCUUCAAAGACUUGAAGUUCUCGUCACAUAUGUCUUUGACUUUCUUAGAAAGAUUUACCCCAAGAUGUUUUAUAUUAUUUGUGGCUAUUGUGAAUGAUAUUGUUUCCCAUGCUUUACAGAUCUAGAAAGAACAGUAAUAACUUCAUUUGAAACAAACAAACAAACAAUCAAACAAAACAGGAGUGUAGCUAGAGUUUUCCUGCCUGGACCACAGUCAGGACAAAUCUCUGUCACCCGCCAGU